CCAGAAAAAAUGGAAACUGAGAUUUGCUGUAAGGAAAGGAAAAGGGUAAAAAGGGAAGGAGUGUUUCGAAAGUUCUUUUUACAUGACGAUUUAGUAGUGAGGGCUAAGGAAAAUGAUAGUAGUUGUUGUCACUUCACUUAAACUUACUGCUUUCUUUCUAUUCUUCUAUGCCCAUGUCAUCCCACGGCAUCUAAUUCCCUCAACUAUCCUUCCCUAUUUUACAGGGCCCUUUGUUGUUUUCUUUAUUUUUCUUACAUUUCCCAACAACAGCAACCCAUUGUCUGGAACACACUGCUCUUUUCUUUUGUUCUUGCAUCACUUUCUUUGUUCUGAAACUUCUAUAUUUUCAGACAACAAGAACAGUCUUUAUAAGGAAGAAAAUAAAAUAAAUAUUUCAUCUUUUUCAACUCUUACACUUUCUCUUUAUUGGGAUUUUCUUCCUUCUUUUCUUUCCUUUUUUUAGCUGCUUCCUAUGGAAACUACUGGAGCUUCUGAGGAUUGUUGUGUGAAGGUUGCGGUUCAUGUAAGGCCGCUUAUCGGUGACGAGAAGCUUCAAGGUUGUAAAGAUUGUGUUACUGUCAUCCAAGGGAAGCCUCAGGUACAGAUUGGGACGCAUUCCUUUACGUUUGAUCAUGUCUAUGGGAGCACCGGUUCUCCUUCUACUUCGAUGUUUGAGGAAUGCAUCGUUCCACUUGUCGAUGGCUUAUUCCAAGGAUAUAAUGCUACCGUUCUUGCUUAUGGUCAGACUGGAUCAGGUAAAACGUAUACUAUGGGCACAAGCUUGAAAGACAGUUGCCAAACCGGAAUAAUUCCUCUAGUAAUGAAUGCUUUGUUCAGCAAGAUCGAAAGCCUGAAACAUCAAAUUGAAUUUCAAUUGCAUGUGUCCUUCAUUGAGAUUCUGAAAGAAGAAGUGCGAGAUUUGUUGGAUCCUAUUUCUUUGAACAAAUCAGAUACUGCAAAUGGAAAUGCUGGAAGCGUAAAUGUUCCUGGAAAACCCCCGAUACAGAUUCGUGAAUCAUCAAACGGUGUUAUUACACUGGUAGGAUCUACCGAAGUUGGUGUCAGUACAUUAAAAGAAAUGGCUGCGUGCCUAGAACAGGGGUCAUUGAGUAGGGCUACAGGGAGCACAAACAUGAACAACCAGUCUAGUCGCUCGCAUGCAAUCUUCACCAUCACCUUAGAGCAAAUGCAUAAAGCAAACCCUAUUUCCGGAGAUGGAAGUCCUAAUGACAUCAUGAAUGAAGAAUAUCUUUGUGCCAAGUUACAUUUAGUAGAUCUUGCUGGAUCAGAGCGUGCAAAAAGAACAGGCUGCGACGGGAUGCAUUUUAAAGAAGGAGUUCAUAUCAACAAGGGCCUACUUGCCCUUGGUAAUGUCAUCAGUGCACUUGGUGAUGAGAAAAAACGAAAAGAAGGUGUUCAUGUUCCAUAUCGAGAUAGUAAACUUACACGGCUUUUGCAGGAUUCGCUUGGUGGCAACAGUAGAACUGUCAUGAUAGCAUGCAUUAGUCCUGCUGACAUCAAUGCAGCGGAAACCCUGAAUACUCUAAAGUAUGCAAAUCGAGCUCGCAAUAUCCAAAACAAGCCUGUUGUUAACCGAGAUCCUAUGUCCAAUGAGAUGCUAAAGAUGCGUCAACAAUUAGAGUAUCUACAAGCAGAACUUUGUGCUCGCAGGUGUUCUGAUGAAGUACAGGUUCUCAAAGAAAGGAUUGCUUGGCUUGAAGCUGCUAAUGAGGAUCUGUGCCGAGAACUUCAUGAGUGCCGUAGCAGACGCUCCAUUGUCGAGCAAUGUGAACCGGAUGCUCAAAAUGGCAGCCCCUGUUCUGUCAAAAGUGACGGGAUCAAAAGGAACUUGCAAAGUAUAGAAUCACCAGAUUAUCAAAUGGUUGAAACCAUGAUGGCAGGUGAUUCCGGAGAAAUUGAUGAAGAAACUGCUAAAGAGUGGGAGCACAUACUUCUACAAAAUACCAUGGACAAAGAGUUGCACGAGUUAAAUAGACAUUUAGAGGAGAAAGAGUCCGAGAUGAAACUUUUUGGAGGCCACACGGUUGCACUCAAGCAGCAUUUUGGGAAGAAAAUUCAGGAAUUAGAGGAAGAGAAAAGAGCUGUGCAGCAAGAGAGGGAUCGGUUAUUGGCCGAAAUCGAAAAUCUUUCUUCUGGUUCUGAUGGACAAACACAAAACGUGCAUGACAUUCAUGCUCAGACACUAAAAUCCCUUGAAGCACAGAUUAUGGAUCUUAAGAAGAAACAAGAGAAUCAAGUUCAACUUUUAAAGCAGAAACAGAAGAGCGAUGAAGCAGCGAAACGACUACAAGAUGAAAUUCAAUUUAUUAAGGCACAAAAGGUUCAGUUGCAACAUCGGAUAAAACAAGAGGCGGAACAAUUCCGUCAGUGGAAAGCCUCUCAAGAAAAGGAACUGUUGCAGUUACGGAAAGAGGGACGGAGAAAUGAGUACGAAAGGCAUAAGCUGCAAGCUUUAAACCAACGCCAGAAACUGGUUCUCCAAAGAAAAACCGAAGAGGCUGCCAUGGUCACCAAGAGGCUAAAAGAGUUGCUUGAAGUUCGUAAAUCUUCUGCUCGUGAUAGCUCAGCUCCUGCCAACGGGAAUGCAACAAGCGGGCAGACCAAUGAGAAAGCAUUACAACGAUGGCUAGAUCAUGAGUUAGAAGUCAUGGUGAAUGUGCAUGAAGUUCGCUUCGAAUACGAGAAGCAAAGCCAAGUGAGAGCUGCAUUGGCUGAAGAGUUGGCUGUCUUGAAGCAAGUAGAUGAUUUAGCUUCAAAGGGGCUGAGCCCUUCAAGAGGAAUUAAUGGAUUUGUUAGGGCAUCCUCCUCACCAAAUGCAAGAGUGGCUCGAAUAUCGUCACUUGAGAAUAUGCUUAGCAUAUCUUCUAAUUCACUUGUAGCAAUGGCUUCACAACUUUCAGAGGCAGAAGAGCGAGAGCGUGCUUUCACUAGCCGUGGACGUUGGAAUCAGUUGCGCUCCAUGGGAGAUGCAAAGAACCUGCUUCAGUAUAUGUUCAGUUCUCUUGGAGAUUCUAGGUGCCAAUUAUGGGAAAAAGAGAUGGAAAAUAGGGAAAUGAAAGAGCAACUUAAAGAACUUGUAGGCCUGUUGCGGCAGAGUGAGUUACAAAGAAAAGAAGUGGAGAAUGAGCUAAAAUUACGAGAACAAGCUGUUGCGAUUGCAUUGGCUACAUCGGUUACGGGGAACUCACCAAAUUCAUUGAAACAUGUAGCUGACGACAUGAAUGGUUCAUUAUCUCCAAUGUCUGUGCCAGCACAGAAACAGUUGAAAUAUAGCCCAGGCAUUGUUAAUGGUCCAACCAGAGAGUCAGCAGCAUUCAUAGACCAAACACGGAUGAUGGUACAUCUCGGGCAAUUACCAAGGAAAAAGUUAGUAGUUAUUGGGCAAGCAGGAAAUGGAAAACUGUGGAGAUGGAAAAGAAGCCAUCAUCAAUGGCUUGUACAAUUCAAAUGGAAAUGGCAGAAGCCAUGGAGACUUUCGGAAUGGAUUAGACACAGCGACGAAACAAUAAUAAGGACAAGGUCGCGAUCACAAGCUCUGCCUCAUAGGGUCUGAUAUUUGAUGGCACCAGAUUAUGUUGGCUAAUAUUAAUCAUCUUUGAUUGUCUGUAUAUGCCUAGCCCAAGGUGUGCAGUCAAGCCUAGAAAAGACCGCGGUUGAUGCAGUGUGCUGGAACUGGCUGUUAGAACCUCCGUAUGCGAUAUUGGUUUAGUUUGAUAUUAAAAAUAUAAAAAAGUAUAGGUCUUUAAUCUUCAAAUAUUUUGCUGUGAUUACUGCAUUGGAGAGCAUCUUGUAACAAACUGUCGAUGCCGCCGAUGGUGCACCAAAUACGUUGAAGAUGUUAGCACGAGAUGGUUUCUGUGUCGAUGCUGUCGCAAAAAGUAUGUCUAGAUCGCGCUCGAUCUGUCUCCCAAGGUUUUGGUGUACUUUCUAUCAAUAACACAUUUCAGGGAAGAAA